CCUAGGACAUAUUUGUACCCCAUCUCUAUUUUAUGCCUUUACACAAUUCUUUACUUAGUUCUAAAGCCUUUAUUGAGCCUGCUUUCUUUGUCCAGCUGAGUGCCACAUGUUCACAUCACAAAGAUCAAUAAGGCAAACUCUGAAAGAUGGACAGAGAUAGAGGAGACGGUCCUUUAUAACACAAUGUGAUCUGUGCUCCAAUAGAGAUGGAAGAGUGUUCUGAUUGGCUGGAAAACAACGUACAUGUGAAGCUGUAUGGAAAUGAGUGGAGAAAGUUUUGGAGGCUAGAAGUUCAAAACAAGGUGUUGGCAGCACCAUGCUCUCUCUGAAGAUGCUAGGAAGAAUCUGUUACACACCUUUCCAUUCACUUCUGGGGUUUCCUGCAAGCCCUCACAUUCCUUGGCUUGUAGAUGCAUCAGCCCAGUUUCUGCCCCCAUCAUCCUGUGGCCUCCUCUCUGUGUGUGCACCUGCAUUCCCUCUCCUCUUCUUCUAAGGACACCAGUCAUAGUAGAUUAAAGGUUCACUCCUAACUAAUUACAUCUGUAACAACCCUAUUUCCAAAUAAAGUCACAUUCUAAGAUUCCUAGGAAGAACAUGAAUUUUUGGGGGUGUGUGAAUACUGUCCAACCUGGGACAUGGAGUAAAUAAAUGGCAAGCAAGAUUACGGAUUACUUUAAGCUAGAGAGGGAGAUAGGGUUAAAUGUAGGACUGUUUUUUUUUUUUUUUUUCCCCCCAGGACUAGAGAGGUUUAAACAUGUUACUACAUUGAAUAAAUGAA